CAGGGUUCGCAUGUGCUCCGGCGACCACCUCCCGAGCUCCGGCGACCUUCAUCCGCGCGGAUGUCAUGCUAAUUAAAACUGAUCUAUACAAAUUGCACUUCAGGAGCUCCCCAUGGAUGUUAGAAAGGAGUGGUUGCAGAUGUUGCCUUGAUUCAUGAGCGUUUGUUUCAUGUGCUUGCUAGACUAAGAACUUGCAAUCCGCGUAUGGGACUGUGUAGUUUGUAUGCUUCAAACUUGUAUUGUGUGCUUGCUUUUGAUGGAUUAUGAAUGAAACUUUUUAUAAUGUUGUCAAA